rnacentral:sRNA from 1 species
AAGAGAUGUGUUACGGAGAACCAACGUACAAUGUAGAUCUUAGAAAAUAUAAAUAUUAAAACUUUCAAUUUUUAUCUAUACAUGCAGUACAAUAUUUUAAGUUCUUUUGCUUUCAUCGAAUUUUUUUUUAUGAUUUCUGAUGUAAACAUACAUGCCACUGAUAUACAUGUACAAUAAGAAUAGUGUACUUUAAUAAGAACGCCGCGUACUUCUUAAAGACGAAAGGCGCAUUACUAUUUUAUUUUACAUAAAAUUAAUAUGCUUUGU